rnacentral:rRNA from 1 species
GAUGCGGCGUCCGAGUUGUAACCAGUAGGGACAAUUUUCUGGGGUGGCGCCGUCCUAAGUUCCUUGGAACAGGACGUCACAGAGGGUGAGAAUCCCGUGCCAGGAUGGCUGAAUCCAUCACCUAUGUGUAUUGUCUCCGACGAGUCGAGUUGUUUGGGAAUGCAGCUCAAAAUCGGUGGUAAAUUUCAUCUAAAGCUAAAUAUUGGCGAGAGACCGAUAGCGCACAAGUAGAGUGAUCGAAAGAUGAAAAGCACUUUGAAAAGAGAGUUAAAAAGUACGUGAAAUUGUUGAAAGGGAAGCGCUUGCGACCAGACUCGAUCGUCGGGGAACACCUGAGCCUUUGUUUGCAGGGUGCACUCGCCACCGAUCGGGCCAGCAUCGGUUCCGAGGGCGGGACAAAAGGUCGGGGAAUGUGGCUUCCCUCGGGGAGUGUUUAUAGACCCGAUCACAAUGCCGCCACUGGGGACCGAGGACCGCGCUCCG